AGUGAACGCUGGCGGUAGGCCUAACACAUGCAAGUCGAACGGCAGCACAGUAAGAGCUUGCUCUUACGGGUGGCGAGUGGCGUACGGGUGAGGAAUACAUCGGAAUCUGCUUUUUCGUGGGUGAUAACGUAGGGAAACUUACGCUAAUACCGCAUACGACCUACUGGUGAAAGCAUGGGAUCUUCGGACCUUGCGCGAUUGAAUGAGCCGAUGUCGGAUUAGCUAGUUGGCGGGGUAAAGGCCCACCAAGGCGACGAUCCGUAGCUGGUCUGAGAGGAUGAUCAGCCACACUGGAACUGAGACACGGUCCAGACUCCUACGGGAGGCAGAAGUCGGGAAUAUUGGACAAUGGGCGCAAGCCUGAUCCAGCCAUACCGCGUGAGUGAAGAAGGCCUUCGGGUUGUAAAGCCCUUUUGUUGGGAAAGAAAAGCAGCAGGUUAAUACCCCGCUGUUCUGACGGUACCCAAAGAAUAAGCACCGGCUAACUUCGUG
rnacentral:rRNA from 1 species